AACGAACGCUGGCGGCAUGCCUAACACAUGCAAGUCGAACGAGACCUUCGGGUCUACUGGCGCACGGGUGCGUCACGCGUGGGAACCUGCCCUUAUGUUCGGAAUUCUUCCCCGUCAGGGGUGCUAAUGCCGGGUAAUGUCUUCUGACCCAAGAUUGAUCGUCUUUGGAUGGGCCCGCGUUGGAUUAGCUAGUUGCUAGGGUAAAAGCCUACCAAGGCAACGCUCCAUAGCUGGUCUGAGAGGAAGAUCAGCCACACUGGGACUGAGACACGGCCCAGACUACUACGGGAGGGAGCAGUGGGGAAUACUGCACAAUGGGGGAAAGCCAGAUCCAGCAAUGCCGGGUGAGUGAUGAAGGCCGUAGAGUAGUAAAGCACGUUUACACGGGAUGAUAAUGACAGUACCGAGAGAAUAAGCACCGGCUAACUCCGUG
rnacentral:rRNA from 1 species